AUGGUGCUGGCUUACUUUUCCUUAUAUGACAUUAGCCCUUACUUAAGCCACCAUUACUCCCCUGUAUCAUCAUCAUUUACUUUCACCAUUGUCAUUGAAUUAAGCCGGUAUGUUGCUUUCUUUUCAGUUCGUCUUUUGAACAUCAUGCCGUCCAAAGCACCGACUGUCUGCAACUGGGUUCCCUCAACAGUCACUGAGGACAAUAUGAAGGAAUUCUUUACCAUAGGUUUUUUGCCAGGGCAGAAUGUUAUGUCCUACCGUGCGCCUGACCCGGAGGAGAAACGGCCCAAUUCAAAAGAUGGUGAAGUUAUCGUCUUUUCUAAUCACAUGAACCAUGGCUUUUCCCCACCCGACUCAAAGUUCUUCAGAGAUGUCCUCCAUUUUUUCAAACUCCACCCUUAA
rnacentral:rRNA from 1 species